GACGAACGCUGGCGGCGUGCUUAACACAUGCAAGUCGAACGGAAAGGCCUGUCCUUCCUUGUGUUGGACGGGUACUCGAGUGGCGAACGGGUGAGUAACACGUGAGUGAUCUGCCCCCAACUUGGGUAUAAGCCUGGGAAACUGGGUCUAAUUCCCGAUAGGACUGCAGGGUGGUGCCUGUGGUGGAAAACGAUUUUCUAGUGGUUGGGGAUGAGCUCGCGGCCUAUCAGCUUGUUGGUGGGGUAAUGGCCUACCAAGGCGGAGACGGGUAGCCGGCCUGAGAGGGUGGACGGCCACAUUGAGACUGAGAUACGGCCCAGACGCCUACGGGAGGCAGCAGUGGGGAAUAUUGCACAAUAGGCGGAAGCCUGAUGCAGCGACGCCGCGUGGGGGAUGACGGCCUUCGGGUUGUAAACUCCUUUCGACCGCGAGGAAGCCGCCUGGUUGGAAGGGUGGUGACGGUAGUGGUAGAAGAAGCACUGGCUAACUACGUG
rnacentral:rRNA from 1 species